rnacentral:rRNA from 1 species
AUUGAACGCUGGCGGCAUGCCUUACACAUGCAAGUCGAACGGUAACAGGUCUUCGGAUGCUGACGAGUGGCGAACGGGUGAGUAAUACAUCGGAACGUGCCUAGUAGUGGGGGAUAACUACUCGAAAGAGUGGCUAAUACCGCAUGAGAUCUACGGAUGAAAGCAGGGGAUCGCAAGACCUUGUGCUAUUAGAGCGGCCGAUGGCAGAUUAGGUAGUUGGUGGGAUAAAAGCUUACCAAGCCGACGAUCUGUAGCUGGUCUGAGAGGACGAUCAGCCACACUGGGACUGAGACACGGCCCAGACUCCUACGGGAGGAAGCAGUGGGGAAUUUUGGACAAUGGGCGCAAGCCUGAUCCAGCAAUGCCGCGUGCAGGAUGAAGGCCUUCGGGUUGUAAACUGCUUUUGUACGGAACGAAAAGCCCUGGGUUAAUACCCUGGGGUCAUGACGGUACCGUAAGAAUAAGCACCGGCUAACUACGUGCCAGCAGCCGCCGUAACAC